UGAUGGAGCACGCCGCGUGAACGAUGAAGGCUUUCGGGUCGUAAAGUUCUGUUGUAAGGGAAGAACAAGUGCCGCAGGCAAUGGCGGCACCUUGACGGUACCUUGCGAGAAAGCCACGGCUAACUACGUGCCAGCAGCCGCGGUAAUACGUAGGUGGCAAGCGUUGUCCGGAAUUAUUGGGCGUAAAGCGCGCGCAGGCGGCCUCUUAAGUCUGAUGUGAAAGCCCCCGGCUCAACCGGGGAGGGCCAUUGGAAACUGGGAGGCUUGAGUAUAGGAGAGAAGAGUGGAAUUCCACGUGUAGCGGUGAAAUGCGUAGAGAUGUGGAGGAACACCAGUGGCGAAGGCGACUCUUUGGCCUAUAACUGACGCUGAGGCGCGAAAGCGUGGGGAGCAAACAGGAUUAGAUACCCC
rnacentral:rRNA from 1 species